rnacentral:rRNA from 1 species
GACGAACGCUGGCGGCGUGCCUAAUACAUGCAAGUAGAACGCAGUUGCGAACGGGUGAGUAACGCGUAGGUAACUGCCUCAUAGCGGGGGAUAACUAUUGGAAACGAUAGCUAAUACCGCAUACUUUGAGAUGGACCUGCGUUGUAUUAGCUAGUUGGUGAGGUAAAGGCUCACCAAGGCGACGAUACAUAGCCGACCUGAGAGGGUGGUCUGGCACACUGGGACGGAGGCACGGGCCAGACUCCUACGGGGGGCAGCAGUAGGGAAUCUUCGGCAAUGGACGGAAAGCUGACCGAGCAACGCCGCGGGAGGGAAGAAGGUUUUCGGAUCGUAAAGCUCUGUUGGUAGGGAAGCGGUAUCUAACCAGAAAGGGACGGCUAACUACGUGCCAGCAGCCGCGGUAAUUC